rnacentral:rRNA from 1 species
AGACGUAGGGUGCAAGCGUUAAUCGGAUUUACUGGGCGUAAAGCGCGCGUAGGCGGCUAAUUAAGUCAAAUGUGAAAUCCCCGAGCUUAACUUGGGAAUUGCAUUCGAUACUGGUUAGCUAGAGUGUGGGAGAGGAUGGUAGAAUUCCAGGUGUAGCGGUGAAAUGCGUAGAGAUCUGGAGGAAUACCGAUGGCGAAGGCAGCCAUCUGGCCUAACACUGACGCUGAGGUGCGAAAGCAUGGGGAGCAAACAGGAUUAGAAACCCUAGUAGUCC